rnacentral:rRNA from 1 species
AGCGAACGCUGGCGGCAGGCCUAACACAUGCAAGUCGAACGAAGUCUUCGGACUUAGUGGCGGACGGGUGAGUAACACGUGGGAACGUGCCUUUAGGUUCGGAAUAACUCAGGGAAACUUGUGCUAAUACCGAAUGUGCCCUUCGGGGGAAAGAUUUAUCGCCUUUAGAGCGGCCCGCGUCUGAUUAGCUAGUUGGUGAGGUAAAGGCUCACCAAGGCGACGAUCAGUAGUUGGUCUGAGAGGAUGAUCAGCCACAUUGGGACUGAGACACGGCCCAAACUCCUACGGGAGGCAGCAGCGGGGAAUCUUGCGCAAUGGGCGAAAGCCUGACGCAGCCAUGCCGCGUGAAUGAUGAAGGUCUUAGGAUUGUAAACUCCUUUUCUCGGGGAAGAGGAAGGACGGUACCCGAGGAAUCAGUCACGGCUAACUACGUGCCAGCCGCCGCCGUAA